rnacentral:rRNA from 1 species
UACGUAGGGUGCGAGCGUUGUCCGGAAUUAUUGGGCGUAAAGAGCUCGUAGGCGGCCUGUUGCGUCCGCUGUGAAAGCCCGGGGCUUAACCCCGGGUCGGCAGUGGAUACGGGCAGGCUAGAGGUAGGUAGGGGAGAAUGGAAUUCCCGGUGUAGCGGUGAAAUGCGCAGAUAUCGGGAGGAACACCGGUGGCGAAGGCGGUUCUCCGGGCCUUACCUGACGCUGAGGAGCGAAAGCGUGGGGAGCGAACAGG